GCGGAGACAGGAAACACUCAAUCGCUUCAGCACAUGGUCGAUUUGUUAGAAAGCUGUUGAGAUGCGAGCAAAAUAAUGAAUGUGGUUGAGUCUGGUGAACGAUCAUUCAUUAAAUCAUGAUUUUAUUGUUGUUUUAAAGAGCUGUAUUAGCAAAUAAAAAAUUGUGCCGUGGCCUUCUUUGGAAUGAAGAAAUUGAGAUCAUACAAUAUGAAGACGUGACAGAAGAGAAGGACAGACAGCAGUACUUCUACUACUGUUUGCAGUUCCUGGUGGUCUCGGGGUCGUGACCCCCCGGUCCUGCAGUAGAGACAGGUGCUGCCACAUUUUUCUCAUCCUGCUCCAUCUGCUGCAGUCGUCCUCAAAUUAAUACAACUUCAUUAUUGUGUGGCUUAAAGUUUCUACACAUUCUUGUCUAAGAAAUAAAACAGUCUCGACUGAAUUUAAUUGUUAGUCAAACUGUCUGUGUCCACUGUAGGCUUUGUUGUAUGACGAAACUGAAAAACUAUGCUGGAGUCCAUUACUGAAGAAUUUACUAAUAAGAGAGGUUAAGAUCUUGGAAUAUUGAUCCAACAUCAGUUUUUAUGUCAACAUAUAUCUAAAUAAUACCACACAUUUAAAAAAUAUAAUAUUGAAUGUUUAGAAAGGACUUCCGAGCAAAUAAAGCAUAUUUUAAUCAGGAAAUAAGUAUCUUUAUCAUCUUUAUUUUAAAGGAGACAAUCAACCUCUUAUAUAACAAUGAUUUUUCAGAAAUGCAUUUUCCCACCUCAGUGUUGAAGUUGUAUUGAAAACAAACUAUUAAACUAUAUUCCAUUGACAUCUUAAAGGAUAUGAAACUUGCCAGCACCUUUUGUAAUCAUCUGGGAUGAAAUGUAAUGCUUGUUUAAUUAUCACCCAAUUGUAAUUAGCUACUCCCUUCCAACUUCCUCAUCCACCCCUGCUUUUGUUUUCUGGUUAAACAAACAAAACCUGCAUUAUUAAAUUAAACACCAAAUGAUGCAGUCCGUGUGCCAAACAGCUUCCUCUCAAUUUCACAGAGUUGAUUGUUUGUGAUUCAUUUAAGAUACAAUUAAAUGUUCCUUCUGUGAAACUGAAAAGAGAGCAGAAAUCUGAAUAGUGGGCUAAGUCUGUCUUUUUUACUGCCGAGGUUAUUAAAUCGAGCUUCUGUUUCAGAGGAUCAACAACUGAGCCAAACCUGAUGAGAUAAACAGGAAGCCUGGAGGUGGCUGGAGGCCCUCCAUAACAGCGGAGCUUUUAUCCUGUUUAAUGUCAAAUGCCCGCAUUGUAUUUGUACACAUUUCUUCAUCCCUUGACGUGCAUUUUAUUUAUGUAUUUAUACUUUUGCAGUGCAAAUUAGUCGUGAAGAGAGAGACACACAUGCUGCAAAAUCAAUUCUGUUUCUCCCGCCUGCAGGCGCCUGUGUCUGAGCCUUCUGUCGGUGUAGCUGAUGAACUCCUUGAGCAGUGCUCCUCCAUGUAGUGCUUCUUUACCCUCAGCCGGUUCAUAGGUCAGUGAUUACCAACCAGGGGCACGCCACAAGGUACUCCUGCAGUUGCCAGGGGGUAUGUGGAGAGGUUGAGGAGUACCUUAGGCAAUUUGAAAAGCUCGGGAAAUGAUCUGAUUAAAAUAUAUACGGACACACAUUGAGUCCGCUGCGAUGAAAGUGCAUACAAUUUAAUUAGCAAGCGAUCAAGCAGCUAACAGCUAUAAAAUAAUACAAAUUAAUAUCUGCAAUUAAUAAGGUAAGAGUUAGGGAUAGACAUUUUAGAUGUUUAGCUUGUCUGCCACUCUGCUGCCCCUCGAGGUGCUGGUACAAAAGCAAAACGGACCAAACUGACCCAGAUUUACAUUGGCAGUUCAUCUGUGGAGAAAAAUUACAACAACAAUAUCGACUUGGAUAUAUUCAUUACAAAAUGAAGACACUAAAACAUGUGGAGCCGAUGAGGGGUUACUUGAGUUCAUCUGAUGUGGAUAAGGGGGUAUCAGGUUGACAAAGACGGUUGGGAAUCUGAUCUCGGUUGUUCCUUUUCUUCUAAUAAUUCCUGUUUGUGUCAGUACACGGUCAGUAAAUCCUGGAUGGUGUGCCUGGUUUCCCUCACCAGAACGGCCGUUCAGUAUACAAUCCAUCACAGUAGACAUGAAGGCUUAAUCUAAUUGUCAGUUUCUGUGCACCAGAGUCUUAUGUCUCCAUGUCAGUACAUAUUAUAUCAGACGGAGCUUCCUGUCAAUCACCUGACAACCACAGGAAGAAAAAAAAAGAAUAAUCCCUUUUUGUAACCUUAUAAACCUUCAUUUUCAGCUAUAAUGUACACCAAAGUUUUCGUUUGUAAUAACAGCAAACAAUGAGCACACACAAAAAAAUCUAUACACAGCAAAGGAAAUGUAAACCAGACACACCGUGCUCCCGAAAAUGACACUCCAGUACAAAUAUUUAAACAAUUAGGAAAUGAGGAAAUUAUCUUUCUUAAAAGCAAAGUAGCUCCUUAAAGCAUCUUUUAUCACCUUUAAACAGUGAUCUUUCCUCAUGGCUUGGACUGCAAUUUACUUUUAAUAGCGUCCAUUCUUCCUUCAUUGAUGUUUGACUGUCAACUCAAGUCAGGCUUUCAGGAAAACAAAGCUCCUCUCCUCGAGAUUAAUUUCAACAACAGUCCUGGACUAAAACUCAGCUCCAGAACCCCUUAGUCAGUGAAAAUACACUCCAUGUGGAUGUCGUCCUCCAUUACAUCAGCCAAUAGAAUAUUUCUCUUAAUGGCUGUGUGCUCCAUCUUUACAAACCCAUGGACACAAUAACACUGGAACAUGUGGUUUUGAUCGGCCAGCACCAGUACACAACAAGCGCUCACUCUGCUGCGGCAAUGAGAACCACAUGCCAGCUGAAACCCGAAUGCCCAGGGCCUGAUCCCAGUCCCUGUUUCCAGUCAUCUCUUGUCCUGCGGGAGCCCAGUUCACAAGCUUGCAAACAAUAGCUCUGUAUUCAUUCAACUUUUUCAAGCAGUUGUGAAACCGUGGAGUCUCUCCCAAACACAUGUUGUGAUGUUGCAUUGUAUCGGCUGAUGUGGUAAACAGUUGGGGUGGAAAUAUAUUUUCUUAUUUGUCUGCCAUUGUUUCAGGAUGUUUCUCGAACAUCAUCAAGACUUUAAUCAAUAAGGAUAUUAAGACUAAUAUAUAUAUAUAAAGUUAAAUCAGCCUGUUAGCUUCACUGCGUUUGCUUGUUUUAGUACUUUUAUGCUGCAAGAUAAGACACAGAGCAACAUUAUUAUUCAUUUGUAGUCAAGUUUAUGUUUCCACCUGAUGGAAGUCCACUCUUAAUUCUCUUUUAGCUCUGUGUUUGGUCUCCAUCAACUCCUAAAUAUCUGUCUCUUUAGCUGCUAAAUGUUCAAUAUGUUCACUGGCUUGUCAGUAAUUGUGUUCGUAUUUCCUGAUUGGUGGGUAGUGAACGGUGGGUUUUUAGAGAUUUCUUUGCUGAAACGGCUGCCGAAAGACAUAUUUUAUUGGAUUUCUUAAAUUUUUCAAAGAUACCAAAAUAUAUUGCAUUGUAUUUGGAAGAAAUGUGGAUAAAAUAAUGCACAAGAUAUAUUUAUAUUUUAUAAAAUAGUUUAGUCAUCAAUGAGCAUUGGGCUCUUGGCUUUGAAUUUUCACUCUGCAACAUCACAUAGUUACAAUGUAGGGUUGCAACAAGCGAAGAAAAUACACACAAGUCUGCCAGACAAUGUGGAAUAACAUACUUUUUCCAACUUUAGAGCCAAAUAAAAGUGGGAAACAGGAUGUUAAGGUCCAAUCCCAGGCAUUCUGUCUCCAGAUCUGUUUUUGUUUUUCAUAUUAAAACAAAGAUCACUGAAAACAUGUGACAGGCCUUUUUACUUUUCUUUUACCUUAUACCAGAACAAUUACACCAUGAUUCAAAGCUCUAAGAAAGCACACAAAACAGUCCAUUUGUUGUGUUUUUCUUUAAAUAAUCAGCACAGAAAUCCUAUUUUGUUUAUUUACAAAACAUUCCUUUUAGAUUCAACUCACUUCCUGGGUCUUUUCUGACCUAUCACACCUUCUAACUGUCCCACUGUGAAGUAUUUGUAAAUGUACCUAAAUGUAAUAUUUGCCUGUCUCUGGGCUGGGAUGUCUGCGAGUUGGCAACAGCAUGUCAUUUGUGUCCCUCUGCUGUUUGGUGUCGUUACACAUUGAUCACAAUCAGACUGUCAAUAGAACAUUCCGUAUUCUCGUGAACUGUUAAAUAGGCACGACAAAACUUCAAAAGCCCCCACCCGACAGCUGGCUAACCCCCUCUAGUGAUCUUGUCCCGCAGAAAACACCCAGGCAGAGUUCCCGCUGUCGUGGAAAGCAGAAAGCCGGAACCCAGAACUGUUGUGUGGCAAGACUGCUGAUGUCUCACCAACAUGCUUGUGUCUAUAUCUCUCUGUCUCUCUCAUGCUGUUGUCAUUGCAUUCCUGCUCUGACCAUGGUGGACAUUCAUUGCUCACUUCAGCACACAUUGACUUCUAAAAGAGCAGGUGAAUCUUUCUCUCUUUUGACAUGCUUCAUACCACUGCGAGAGGAGAAUAAAGUGAUGACGUGGCACAUUUUUAGCCACCCUGUAGAAAAAAAGACUAUCGAUUAACUUGACGCUCCCACGAGGUCAUCCGGACACGCUCUGAGGAUAUUCUUCUUCUCAUAGAAGCUCAAGGCCAUUGAUGCUCCAGCUACAACAGAUCAGCCUUUUAUAAUAAAAAAAAAAAUGUUUUUACAUUGUCCUGUGUGAACCCGCCCUGUUAUUUCUGUUCAUUCACCGAAACCCCACCAUAGAUAAUGCAUCAUGUGCAUCGCCAUUCUUCCCCCAGAUUAAGCCGAGGGGCAUAUUGUGUUAGGGAGUCCUCUGCAAUGGGCUGAACGGGCCGCUCGGAGCAGGACUAAAGCAACAGGGCUGUGGUGUCUCUCUCGGGCGCCACUGGGAGAGCCCGAGUGUCCAAAGCGUCAAGGCUCCAGCAGCUCAUGUGUUCUGACAGUGUUGUGGUAGAGCCGCUCUGCCGUAAAAGGUACAUAGGAAACGCGGUGCGGUUCACAUGGGGAGCUCUUUUUCCAUCCACAGCUCGGCCUCAGUGGGGUCGAGACAUUUCCCACUCUAACCACAUCUAUAUUGUUCCUGCUGUGGUGGUACUUUUACUCAAGAUUAAAGGGGAAUGUUGCACUUUUGAUACUUGAAGUACAUCUGGCUACUUACUGCCUCUGGACUCUGAAUGCAGGACUUUUUUUUGACUCGCAAUGAUGUAUUUUAUUAUGAACUUUAUUCAAGUAAAAUAUCUGAGCACUUCCUCCACCACUGUUGUCCGGCUCACCAGAGUGUUUGAAUUAACCUGACGGCUCCUCAAAUGUGGUCACCCUUUGGAUAAAACUUCCAAGUACACUUUGGUGAUUUGCAGUUUGCUCUGCUGAGGCCUGACACGUGUUUUCUCAGGGUUUGUGUGUCGAGGUACGACGCGUGGGAAACACCUGCAUUCCACACCCACUUGAUGACCUCUCUGAACUCUUGCUGUGCUAAUCGGUGUCACCUUGGCCGUGGGGAGAGGAUGGCGCUCACUGAGAGGAGGAACAUGUGUUGUGGGAAUCUCUCGUUCAGCAAAAAUAAACUGAUGACACAUUUGUGUGGGAGGCA